rnacentral:tRNA from 1 species
GCCGGGGUGGCGGAAUCGGCAGACGCAAGCGACUUAAAAUCGCUUAUCCGACAGGGUGUGCGGGUUCGAGUCCCGUCCCCGGCA